rnacentral:rRNA from 1 species
AGUGAACGCUGGCGGCAGGCCUAACACAUGCAAGUCGAACGGCAGCACAAGAGAGCUUGCUCUCUGGGUGGCGAGUGGCGGACGGGUGAGGAAUGCAUCGGAAUCUGCCCAUUUGUGGGGGAUAACCUCGGGAAACCGGGACUAAUACCGCAUACGACCUACGGGUGAAAGCCGGGGAUCUUCGGACCUUGCGCAGAUGGAUGAGCCGAUGCCGGAUUAGCUAGUUGGAGGGGUAAAGGCCCACCAAGGCGACGAUCCGUAGCUGGUCUGAGAGGAUGAUCAGCCACACUGGGACUGAGACACGGCCCAGACUCCUACGGGAGGCAGCAGUGGGGAAUAUUGGACAAUGGGCGCAAGCCUGGUCCAGCCAUGCCGCGUGUGUGAAGAAGGCCUUCGGGUUGUAAAGCACUUUUGUUGGGAAAGAAAAGCAGCCGGUUAAUACCCGGUUGUCAUGACGGUACCCAAAGAAUAAGCACCGGCUAACUUCGUG